rnacentral:lncRNA from 1 species
CAGUCCGGAGAGUUCUUUACUCAAAGUAGAGUGAACACCAGGGGUGGGGAAGGGGCAACCCUGUCCCAACCAACAGAGCUUCUGGAAGUUUGUGUAGGGAGUGUGGCAGGACCAACAAGGGCGAUGUCAGCAGAUGUGUGAAAGUCUUCACUCGGGACCACAUUUGCUCAUAAGUCGUAUAGAGAUGCGUACUUGGUUCUAGUUGAAUAAACGCAUCAUAAAACACACCCAAGGAUCAGACCUUAAAAAUGGAGACCAAACAUAAAGGUAAACAGAAGUUUUAAUAUUUUCUGCUUGCACCCCAGGAGAUCCUUGUUUUAAAACCCCUGGAGCACCACUUCGUUUGGAAAACAAUCUGCUGGGCCCUGCCUCUGUGAGAAUCCCUCAUGUGUCUUAAAAUGCAUGUUCUGGAGUUCCCGUCGUGGCUUGGUGGGUUAAGGAUCCAGCAGCUGCCACAAGCUGCAAUGUAGGUCGAAGCUGUGGCUCGGAUCCAGUGUUGCCUGUGGCUGUGGCAUAGGCCACAGCUGGAGCUCCGAUUGGACCCCUAGCCCUGGGAACUCCCAUAUGCCACAGGUGUGGCCCUAAAAAUGGAAAACAUAAGUAAAUAAAAUGCAUAUUCUGAUUCAGUAGGUCUUGGAAGGGGACCCAAGAGUCUAACAAACUCCCCAGGGAUUUGGGUACUGUUGGUCCAGGACCACUUUUAGGACAGGAAGGCCCAUCGUCAGUGACAGGUGAAACAAUGAUGCCUUGGGGAGCAGUAGUGAAAACCAAGGAAAUAUGUUUUGGCACCAGUUAUAUAACUGCCCUGAGCUGUCAACCUGACAAUAGUAAUUAUCACACCCAUUUUACAGAUGUAAACCUUGAACUUCAAUGGGUUGAAGACAUUUCCCUGAAUUCAGAGGGCAGAUAAGUGCACAAUUACCAAUAUGAACCCAGGUCUGUUUUCACACAGAAGAUAAAUACAUGUUUACUGUAGAAAACUUAGGAGAACAUAUAGGCAAAAAUGAAACUUUUCUGUAUUUCCACCACCCUAAAAUAACUGCUACCAACAUCUUGCUUUCAUUUUACUUUGUUUUUACAAAACCUUGGGGUUUUUUUUUUUUCUUGUAUGACCUACCGGUCUGGGUUUGAAACUUGGCUGCAUCCUAGCAAGUCGCCAAAAUUUCUGUGCCUCAGUUUCGUCAUCUGUAAAAUGGGGAACAGCAAUAGGACCGACAUUGAUGUCUGUGGGGAUAAAACGAGCGGGAGGUGCCUGGACGAUUCCCUAGCAGAUAUACCUGCAGCAUGUGGAAGUUCCCAGGCUAGGAGUCCAAUAGGAGCUGCAGCUGCCGGCCUACACCACGGCUACAGCAACGUGGGAUCUGAGCUGUGUCUGCAGCCCACACCACACCUCACAGCCACGCGGGAUCCUCCACCCACUGAGCGAGGCCAGGGAUGGAACCUGAAUCCUCUCGGAUACUAGUCAGAUUCGUUUCCGCAGUGCCACAGUGGGAACUCCCUGGGAUCUGCAUUGUGAAUGAGCUCCCCCCGGGGGUUAUGUGACCAAUGGCCUAGGAGCCCAUUCAGAGAAAACCUGCGGAUUCCCGCAUCAGUGCUCCUGUCUAAAGACCUGAAUGUGGCUUUGCCAUUGUCUUGGACUCCUCCCUACACGCCUGCCCCGCUAAUAAGAAGCCUGGAUGCUAAGGUUUAAGGAUCACAGUAUCAUUAUUUUGCUAUUUAUCUUAGGCAGGUGGUUUUUGUUUUUUUGUUUGUUUUUUUGGUCUUUUUGCUAUUUCUAAGGCUGCUCCCGUGGCAUAUGGAGGUUCCCAGGCUAGGGGUCUAAUCGGAGCUGUAGCCACCAGCCUACGCCAGAGCCACAGCAACGCCAGAUCCGAGCCACGUCUGCAACUUACACCACAGCUCAUGGCAACGCCAGAUCGUUAACCCACUGAGCAAGGGCAGGGACCGAACCCGCAACCUCAUGGUUCCUAGUCGGAUUUGUUAACCACUGCGCCACGAUGGGAACUCCAUUAGGCAGGUGUUUUGAAUUCACCUGGCCUAAGCAUCUUGCGUGUUAGAGCAGCCAAGCUCUGACUCAGGGCAGCUGUCUCCCAGAGCCAUCCCCUCACAGCCCCUCUCCCACCUCUCUUCCAGGAUGAACAGGGUGCGGGGUAGUGUGGGCGCCAGGCGCUUCUGGGGAGCUCACCCUGCCCACCAGCCAGGAAGGCCAGUGCGCCCAGCUGAGAGAGGGCAGCCUGGCGCCUGUUCCAUGUGGUAUCUCUGCACCUCACCCAGGGCUGGGAACACAAUAGGAACUCAGUAAGUGCUUGCUGAGUAGAUGAAAACCGGAUUGCAUUAAAUAACUGGAGGAAACCAAAUUUCCUUUCACAAAAAUGACCUAGGUGUGUUGAACAAAAUUAACCCACUACACACUUUUUGUAUUAGAAUGGGAGUCGGAAACCACUGCCCUGAGAUAUUUUCCAGAAGCUGGAACAGAUUAGCAUAGGCUCUGUGACCCAACAAGGAGGAAUACUUACCGAAAGACUAAUGAAGGGGGAUCACAUAUCUGGCACACAGCAGGGGCCCCAUCAAAUGUUGUUUCCCAUCCCCCUUUCUCUUCCCCCCAAAGAUUCAGAAGAUUAGGAAUCCCAAUGGUGAUGGGCUCACUGAAACAGGUUUACUGACAGAUGAGACCACCAAAGCCCAGAGAGGUUAAGGCGCAUGCCCAAAGUCACACAGCGAAGUUUUUUUUUUUUCUUUUUGGUUUUUGUUGUUGUUGUUGCUAUUUCUUGGGCCGCUCCUGCGGCAUAUGGAGGUUCCCAGGCUAGGGGUCGAAUCGGAGCUGUAGCCACCGGCCUACGCCAGAGCCACAGCAACGCGGGAUCCGAGCCGCGUCUGCAACCUACACCACAGCUCACGGCAACACCGGAUCGUUAACCCACUGAGCAAGGGCAGGGACCGAACCCGCAACCUCAUGGUUCCUAGUCGGAUUCGUUAACCACUGCACCAGGAUGGGAACUCCUGACUCCAGAGUUUUUUUCUCCUUUCCUUUAAUCGAAGUUGCCAGAAGUUGACUCCCUAACGGUUUGCAUCAAAAUCACACUUAUGAGCUUGUAAAAUGCCCAGUCAAGGGUUCCCCCCUGUGGAAUCAGGCCUUUUUGGCGUGGGGGGCUAAGAACCUAUAUUUUCAACAAAACAGGCACGGAAGUCAUGACCAUUAAAAUUCAAGCCAAUGUUCUGUCUUAUUAACUAAGGAGAUCCCUAAAUUCAUCUCAGAGAGGACGGGACUCUGAACCCUGCCCAAUCAUUAUUUUUAUUUUUAUUUUUUUAAACUUUUUAAGUAGCGGCAGCAAAUGCCUCAUUGAAACCCAUCAAGAGUUGCUGGUGGCAUGAGUGAGCGCAUCCUUGCCUAAGGCCUCCCCUCGAUCUGAAUGUCACCAUCCAGGUGGCUAUUGCUCCUUCUCCCUCUGCUUUUUUCUUUUUCUUUUUUUCUUUUAUGGCCUCACCUGAGGCAUAUAGACAUUCUCAGACUAGGGGUCAAAUCAGAGCGGCAGCUGCAGGCCUACACCACAGCCACAGCAACGCCAUAUCCGAGCCGCAUCUGUGAACUACGCCUCAGCGUGUGGCAACACCGGAUCCUUAACCCACUGAGGGAGGCCAGAGAUCGAACCCACAUCCUCACGGACACUAUGUUGUGUUCUUAACCACUGAGCCUCCAAGGAACUCCUUUCUCCCUCUUACCCAAGAGCAAAGGGGUGACUUUAAAAAGGCAGCCAGAAACAACAAGAAUUGGCUCUUGCAAGGCUCCAAGGAGGCCUGCCAGAUUCCUUAAAUUCAGACCCUGGAGUUGUUCACUGUCAGGACGGGUUCUGCCAGGGAGCCGGGGGCGUGGAUUAAAACGUGCAUUUUUAAGAGGGUAAACUGGAAGCGGGAGUCCCCGGUGAGCUGGCCUCGGGAAGGAAGCUGUGUACCAGAGAUGCUGCAGACAAGAGUGUGCUCAGGAUAACAGAGGCAAGGAUGCGACGCUCCCUGGGCUCCUCGGCAAUAUGCCUUCACCCGCAGUUUAGCUAACAGCGUGUCUCUGGGGCCACUGUUGCUAUCAAAUUUAUGCCUUAUGAAAUGUCAAAAGGGAAGCACUGCUUCUCCAAUACAGCGAGAAAUUUCUUCCUUUCUUCUAUUUUUUUUUUUUCCCCAUGUAAUGCCCUCCUGGAGGAUUUUUUGCAACCCUGGAUAAAUAUUUCUCUGUCAACUCAAACGGAGAAGAGCUUAUAGCGUCUCGAGAAGGGCGCUGUUGCCUCUUUACGAGGCUGUUCUGCAAAGCAGAUGAGUCGGGCAACAGGGUGUGUGCCCAGCGCUGAGCAUUUGUGUCCAUGGUGGAAUCACAGAUGCUUCCCUGGUUCAGUUACCUGGAGAAGAAAGAGAAUGCAUUGUGGUUAUUAAGCAGGCAGAGCUUUUGCUUUUCUUUUUUCUUUUCUUUCUUUUUUUUUUUUUGGCAUAGUGCUGGGCAGCCUGACCACAGAGACAAACAAGAGGGGGCUCUAAAAGCUUCGAAGUCAAAAUCCAUUCUUCCCAGGCCACACCUCCUCCAGGAAGCCUACCAGGACUCCUGCAGCCCCAUGGGUACUUCCUUAAGGAAACGAACAUGUCCUGAGCGCCAGCCUUCCACCAGGCACCUUAUAGACAUGAUCUUGUUUAUUCCUUCAUGCAACUCCGUGAAGUGUGGCCUAUUAAACUCUUUCUCUCUCUCUCUCUCUCUUUUUUUUUUUUGCUUUUUAGGGCUACACCUAUGGUACAUGAAAGUUCCCAGGCUAGAGACUGAGUCAGAGCUGCAGCUGCCGGCCUACAACACAGUCAUAGCCACAGCCACAGCCACGUGGGAUCUGAGCCACGUCUGCAACCUACAGCACGGCUCACGGCCCAUCCCAGAUCCUUAACCCACUGAGUGAGGCCAGAGAUCAAACCCAAGUCCUCACGGAUACAAAUCAGGUUUGUCACUGCUGAGCCAUGAUGGGAACCUCUAAAUUCAUUUUAUAAGUGAGGGACCUGAAGCUCUGAGUUUAGGCUGAGGAGUUAAACAGACCUGGAGAGAAAUCUCACCUCCCCAGUUGUUCUGCUGGGUGACCUCGGGCAGGUUGCUGAGCUUCUCUGAGCGUGACAGCCUCAUCUAGAAAACAAGGAUGGUUCUGUACUUUUCAGAUUCAUGAGGCUUAGUGAUGGCCAUGAUAGAGACAUAGGGCUCAGUGCACAGUAGGCACUUAAUAAAAUUGUAGCUGAUGCUCUCAUUAGGAUUACUAUAGAAAUCUACGAAGGUAGAGAGAGGUAGAGCAGGAAUUCGAACCCAGGUCUGGGUGCCUUCAACAUUCAUAGACUUUUCUGGACGCGCCUUGAUGUUUGCCUCUGUGGAGGUUUAUCCUCUUAGGUUUUCGUGUUGAUGUGUUUCCUGCCCAGUCUCUCUGAGGACAGGGCUGUACCACAGACCUCCUUGCCAUCUGCCACACUGCUGGGCAUCCAGGAGACGUGCAGGAGGAGAGAGUUGAAGCACAGCCCUCCCAGGCUAGUGUUGGUUUUCUAGUUUGUCCUCUUCCAGGCACUGGCUUCAAGGUAGUGAAU